UGGGAGGGGCUUUUCGGCCACCGUGGCGUUGGUUGCCAUGGUGCUGUAACGGGCCUGCAGAAUGUCGCUGUCCGCGCUGCCGCUGCCUCCCGCCCGGGUGUUCGCGGAGCUUUUAGCCCCGCCGCUCGGGGCUCGCGGGCGGGAGAACGAGCCGGUGCCGGGGCUCCUCGGCGGCCGCAGCACCGCAGUGCCGCCAGGGCGGGAGGUUCACGUGAGCGGCAGCGCGGAGCUGUGUGCGGCCCCGGACCGGGCGCGGGUCUCCAUCCGGCUGGGGAGCAGGAAGGGGGAGGCCGGGGAGGCGCGGAGCAGCGUGACCCGGCGGCUGGAGUACAUCGCGCAGAGCGCCCGGCAGCGCGGGGUGCAGGAAGAAAAUGUGACUGUGACAAAGGAUUUUAGUAGAGUAGAAAAUGCUUAUCAAAUGGAAGCAGAGGUCUGCAUUACAUUUAGUGAUUUUGGAAAAAUGCAGAACGUUUGCAACUUACUCGUUGAGAAACUGGGUAGUUCUGUUAUCAUCAGUCCACCUCACUUCUACCAUACAGCAGAGGCUGUAGACACCCUUCGGCGUCAAGUGUGUCUUGCUGCUGUUGGGAACACACGUCGAAAAGCUCAAGAGGUCUGUCGACUGUUCGGCCAGUCACUGGGAAAACCACUGCUUAUCAGAGAAGAGGAAAUGAAAGAAUGGGAAGGACAAAUAGACAGUCACCCAUCCAACUCCUCAAACACACUGACUGUGCAGCAGAGAAUCCAAAGUGCCACUAUUUAUGCUUCUUCAAAAAUAUUUGCUAUUUUUGAGAUAAAGGGACGAGAAAAGAGAAAAAACAAGCUUAUCUAGAAGCAUGUUAAAGCAUUUUUCUUAUUUGUCUCUGACAAAUCUUGGAAUAAAUAUGACAUUACCCAGCAAUGAAGUGUAGAGGGAGAAGACAAGGGACCAAGGAAUCUGGAGAAAGAGAGCCCUGUGGACCCCCCGCCCCAAAGUUGGAAGGAGGAUGAGGACACUGAAAAAAUGAUUAGAGAAACAAAUGGAGAACCAGGAGGACAGUUACAGAAACCAGGGUAUGACAAGGUUUCAAGAUGAACAAUACAGUUGACCAUGUUGAAAGCAGCUGGCAGGCAAAGGAGAAUGAGGAAGGAGUACUCAUUCCUAGCCAAAGCUCAGGAUAGGUCAUAAAAGACUUUGUUGUGAGUGAUUUCAGUGGAGUGCAAGAGGCAGAAGCCAGAUUGGAGAGGGUCUAGGAUAGACUGGGGUGAUAGAAACUCCAGAGAGUGCAUUCAGUGAGCUUAGAGAUGAAAGCUAUAAGGGGAAUUGGCAGUAGUAGGCCAAAGUGUGUGUUUUCAAAAUGGGAGAGACUUGUGCAUGCUUGUAUUGUGAGGGGAAAGAGACAGAGGAAAGUGGAGGCUAAGGAGAAAAAGAAGGAAGGAGAUGGGAGUGGGUAUGAGAGAGAUCAGGAAAUGAGAGGGAGUGACUGGGGCAAGUGGAGGAGAGCAGCUGAGAUAUUUCUGCAUCUGUGACAGGGGAGAUGGAGGAGAGAGUUGUAGGAGGGGAAGGGGAAAGAGAAGACAUGUCAGGCGAAGGGGGAAAAUCACUUUGUAUUUUGCCAGUUUUCUCUUGGAGGAAAACUGGCAAGAUACUGUGUGGAAAGAGGAGUGUGUCAAAGAUGGCAAAGAGACCGCUGGGAUUACAGACAUGAGAUUCAAUUAAGUUGGAGAAGUAGAGUUGUUUAGCAUGGAAGAACUGAAGGAGGAGAGAAUACAUUUGUUAUGGAGGAAGCCUGGUCACAGGAUUUGAGCCAGAGAUGCUCCACUGUAAGAGAGCAGAGGUGGAGGAAGUGAAUGUUGAGGGUGACCCAGGGCUGGGAGUUGGCAGGGUGGACCUUGUGCUGGAAGAGAGGGGCAAAAGAGUUGAGGAUAAAGAAGAAUGAAGCAUGAAGAAAACAACUAAAUCAAUGGAAGAAAGGAAAGAGAGCACUGAUGGACUGGAGGUCAUGGAAAGGCCGAGUGACAGGGCAUGGGAUAAGGACUGCUGGGAAAUAUUGAAAGAGACCCAAGUGAUGGUUGGAGAGGGGGAACUCAGCAACAGAGAUUAGAGAGAGAGCAGUGUUUUGUGAAGACCAAGUCAAGUGAAUGACCCUUUUGAUGAGCAGGAGAGUCAAACCAGGGCUGCAGAUCAAAUGAAAAGGUGAGGGCGAGAAGACAUGGCUAGGGGUCGAAUGGUCAUCAACAUGAAAGUUGAUAUCACUGAGGAGGAAUGUGGAUGACUGUGAGGAGAGGAAGAGCAAGAGACAGGAGUCACAAGCAGAAAGGAAGACUGAGGAGGAGGAGUUGGGGGAACGGUAGAUGACAGCUGCAUGGAAGGAGAGAAGAGUCGGAUGCUGUGCUUUCAAAAGUGGGAAGGGGGAGGGGUUAGAAAUGGCAGAAAAGGGAGAGGAGAAGCCCAACAGCACCACCAUGGUCUGAUCUAGGGUGGGGAAUAUGACGACAGGAGAGGUCUCCAUAAGAGACCUGCAGAGGCAGUGUCAGAUGAAGGGAUCCAGGUCUCUGCAAGAGCCAAGAACUGGAGGAAGUCAGAUACAAAGAACUAGAGAUGGAGUGGGUGUUCCAGAGACAGCAAGACAAGUGGAAGGAGGGGGUGGUGUAAGGUUAAGAAUAGUGGCACAAGAAGGGCAGAGCUGAUGGCAGAGAUGGAGAAGGUGGGAUGGAAGGGAGGGUCAGGAUUGGGGCAAAUGUUAUCAGAGGUAAGGAGGAUGUGGGACCUAGAUUUGUGCUGCGAGGGAAAGAGGAACAGGUAGAAAUGGUAGCAACUGUAGAGGGGUAAGGGAAACCAGAAAGAGGAUAUGGAACCAGAGGAGGAAAGGAGGAUGACAGAUACUGUGAGGCAGAAGAGGGUAAGGUGAAAGCCAGGGUCAGUGUCAGGUGGACAAGAUUACAAUU